rnacentral:rRNA from 1 species
GACGAACGCUGGCGGCGUGCUUAACACAUGCAAGUCGAACGGUGAAGCGCCUUCCUUUUUGGUGGGUGUGGAUGAGUGGCGAACGGGUGAGUAACACGUGAGUAACCUGCCCCCUUCUUCUGGAUAACCGCAUGAAAGUGUGGCUAAUACGGGAUAUUCUGGGUCUGUCGCAUGAUGGGUCUGGGAAAGUUUUUGUUUCGGUUGUGGAUGGGCUCGCGGCCUAUCAGCUUGUUGGUGGGGUGAUGGCCUACCAAGGCGGUGACGGGUAGCCGGCCUGAGAGGGUGGACGGUCACACUGGGACUGAGACACGGACCAGACUCCUACGGGAGGCAGCAGUGGGGAAUAUUGAACAGUGGGAGCAAGCCUGAUGCAGCGACGCCGCGUGGGGGAUGGAGGCCUUCGGGUUGUGAACCUCUUUCGCCAGUGAAGCAGGCCUGCCUCGUUUGUGGGUGGGUUGACGGUAGCUGGAUAAGAAGCGCCGGCUAACUACGUG